CCAGGGCCCCCCAGCUCCACCUGGGGCACGUAGGGCAGAGGAGCUGGGAAACUCCCGCCCAGACCCCCACCCCAGGCCUGGGCAGGGGGAGGGGGAGGCUGCCUGUCCCCGGUCUGCACUGACCCUGCGGAGCCCUCUCCCGCCCCCUGUUGGUACCACCUCUCCAAGCCCAGGCCUCUUCCUGGAGCUCUGCCUUCACCCCGCCCCUCCAGUCCUAGCUGAUAGUGGGCCACGAGGAGGUCAGCUCACCCUGCCCAGAGCAGCAGACCUGGCCCCAGAGGGGACCACGCGGUUCCCUCCUCCGAACGUCCCCACUUGUCCCCCAUCUGCACUUGUGCCCAGGACCCAGGCCCGUCCAGCCAGGUGGCAGCUGCCUCAGAGCCACACGAAGGUGAAGGAGGCGAGUCUCCGCCGGUGCCUGUGUCCAGCGCUCAGGGCCCUUCCAGCCAGGGCUGGCCUCCUGGCCUCAUCUGCCCGUUGGAUGCCUGCUUCACUUUCUGGGGCCCCGGGCGCUGGCCCACAUCCAUCAGUGAGGUGAACCACGAAGCCAGGCUACACUGAGCCAUCCAGAGACAGCCAGAGAGACACGGAGCUCUUGGGGUCCCAGCCCGGUGUGUCUCCCUCACUCUGAUGGUUUUAAGCCCAGGACCCGUGGGAGAGCCAGCCACCCCAAGGGGCCUUUAUCUAGGCAGUCAGGGGCUGAACGGGGCCUGAGGCCCCAAAGGAAGGCAGCACUAUGAUCAAAACAGGUUCUCGAGCGUCCCCAGCCUUUGUAAAUUGCCAGCUGUUCCCACAGGCCAAGCUGACUUCAUCACCAUCGAACGCCAGGGGGCCUGGCCGCCUUCACUGCUGGACACUUGAGUUUGCCCCCUCACCCUUAUCCCAGUCUUCCCAACGCCAGGCGGUACGCCUUCUCCCCCCGUAGAGUGAAAGCUGAGCUCCCAGCACUCUCCCACAUGUGUACGCCUGUCUAACCCCCACCAGAUCGCCUAUUACAGCCUCGCCUGGGAUCUUUCAUGCGGGCAGUCAGGGCCCCCCACCCCAUCCCUGCUCAAAUGUUGAGAAAUGGAAUAUUUCCUGCCAUAUCUGCAAACAAAGGGUGACGCAGUCACCAGGGUCUGCAGCCCCCUACUGUGAGCUCAUGAGCUCUGGGGAAACUCCGAAAAGAAAACCCAGGAACCUCGCCCCAGACCGCUGAGGUGCAGAUCAAAGGAGCGGUUGCAGUGAGCCCAGACUCUUUCAUGUUCCCAUACACAGUAAAGCACUAAAUUCUU